GAUACGGGAGGCAGCAGUGGGGAAUUUUGGACAAUGGGCGCAAGCCUGAUCCAGCAAUGCCGCGUGCAGGAUGAAGGCCUUCGGGUUGUAAACUGCUUUUGUACGGAACGAAAAGGUUCUCUCUAAUACAGGGGGCAUAUGACGGUACCGUAAGAAUAAGCACCGGCUAACUACGUG
rnacentral:rRNA from 1 species